rnacentral:lncRNA from 1 species
GGAAUCCAGAUUCUCAUUUGAGUAGCCGCCAUAUACCUGAAGACUUGGAAACUGCAAGCUUUUGAAGAAAUGGACAGUCUCUGGAUUCCAGGAGCAGCCACACUGGAGGUCUUAAUUGGUACGUCCUGUUUGCUUGAUCAGAGACUCUGAUUCAGGGAUAGAUAGGUGACUUGCAUUGCAGAUUCUCAGAUGCACUCAGACACACUCCUUGUCACCCACCAGGCUUAACCAGAAAGCAGAUAGCUCCUUCUGUGGCUGGUGGUCAACGUAUUCCCACAAGCAUGGCCAAACUGUGGUGAAGCUCACACCAGAGCCAUGCUGCCCAGCACACUACCCACUGGCCAGUGGCUGUUGAGCACCUAAGUCCAAACUAAAAUGUACUGUACACGUGAUGCACACACCAGGCUUGAAGAUCCGGCAUCUCAUAAGUCACUUUUAUGCUGUUUACACAUGGUAUUGAUAAUACUUUGAAAAUGUUCAAUUGAAAUAUGAUAAUAACAUUAAUUCCACCCCUAGCUUUUUGCAUGUAUUGUGGCUUUGGUAAAUGUAACAUUCCAUGUUUGGCUCAUACACUAUUGGUGUUGGCCCACACUCUGGCCUUGGCAAAACAGGUGCUAAUGAUGUUCUUGAUUAUCCAGAUCUACCAAGCCUGAAACCUGACUCACCUCUGCAUUUUCUAGAGAAUUGUCAGGAUUUUUGCAUUGUCAAGAUCUUUUAAAUUUAUUAAAUCACUCUGGGUUUAUAUUUUUUGUUAUUUACAAUCAAAAUGGCUUAUUUUAAA